rnacentral:lncRNA from 1 species
GAAUACCCCCCCCCCCCCCCCCCCCCCCCCCCCCCCCCCCCCCCCCCCCCCCCCCCCCCCCCCCCCCCCCCCCCCCCCCCCCCCCCCCCCCCCCCCCCCCCCCCCCCCCCCCCCCCCCCCCCCCCCCCCCCCCCCCCCCCCCCCCCCCCCCCCCCCCCCCCCCCCCCCCCCCCCCCCCCCCCCCCCCCCCCCCCCCCCCCCCCCCCCCCCCCCCCCCCCCCCCCCCCCCCCCCCCCCCCCCCCCCCCCCCC